CAGCCGCCGCGGGAAUACGUAGGUGGCAAGCGUUGUCCGGAAUUAUUGGGAGUAAAGGGCUCGCAGGCGGUUUCUUAAGUUUGAUGUGAAAACCCCCGGCUCAACCGGGGAGGGUCAUUGGAAACUGGGAAACUUGAGUGCAGAAGAGGAGAGUGGAAUUCCACGUGUAGCGGUGAAAUGCGUAGAGAUGUGGAGGAACACCAGUGGCGAAGGCGACUCUCUGGUCUGUAACUGACGCUGAGGAGCGAAAGCGUGGGGAGCGAACAGGAUUAGAUACCCCCGUAGUCCCUGUCUCUUAUAC
rnacentral:rRNA from 1 species